UCCCAGAGGACAGACCCAGAACUCUGCAGAGAACUGUGUCCUACCCUCCUGGGUGUGUCCAGGAUGUAACCUUCACAGCUUCUGGCUCCCUGUGCUGCUCCAGCAAUUAUCCCCUCAUGUCCUGCACCUGUGGUUCCUCUGUUACCUGAGGAGCAGGACUCUGGACCUGGACUGUCCAACAACAAUGUUGCUUUAAAAAAGUCUCAAGUAGGAAAGGUCAGUUUUUAGGUUUAAAGGCUUUAAAAUCCAUGUGUCAAAAAGCAACCAUCUUUGUGCAGUUUGUGAUUAAAAUAUUAUUAAUCUGAUGAUUUGAUACGAAAUUAAAUGAGAAUAUUUCAGUGAGUCACAAUUAUGAGACCAGAGAUGAAAAGGUAGAAAAACAACCAACUUCAAAUUAGUGAGAACAAGUUGGAAAACCCGACCAUGAUGCAACGUCUGACUUUAACCCUGGAGCUGCAGGACGCAGCAGAGGAGUAAACGCUCUGCAGGGCGUAACGCACCACGUACCAGCAGAACGGAUCCUCGGUACCGAGCUGCCCUCCGUCCUGGACCUGCACAUCUCCAGAGUCAGGAAACGGGUCAGAACCAUCACUGCAGGUCCACAACAUGUUCCACCUUCUCCCCUCUGGGAGGCGCUACAGAGCUCUGUGCGCCACAACCAGCAGACCCUGGACCAGUUUCUUCCCACAAUGCAUCACUCUGAUGAACAGCUGACUCUGACUCCCAGUCUCAGGUUCAGUUCCUGAUCCAUGACCCAGUAACUCUGCGUCUAUCCAGCUGUCAGUUAUUAAUAAUUCUCCAUCUCAGUGCUCUUCAUAUUGUCAUGUUCUACAUUCUGGCUAUAAAUCCACCUUCAUGUCCAUAACGCCGUGUUUAAUAUUCAUUUAUUCCAGCAGGCUCUGCACUCACCACUGUGGA